AAAUGCCGUAUGAAUCGAGAAGUUCACGUACUGUUCUGUGAGAAACGCGGGGUGAAAUCCUCCUUGCUUACUCGAC
rnacentral:misc_RNA from 1 species